CCAGACCCUUUCCUUCUCCAGGCACUGAAGGAGGACGUGGAGAUGGAGAUGAAAAAACUCCAGAAGGCACAACGGAGGGUCGAAAAGCGCACUGCCCCCAGGAGGAAGAUGACACGCAGGGAAGAGCACAUGAGUUCCCUGAUGCAGGAGGCAGUGGCAGUGCGAUUGGAUGAGCAGACGGCAGCACAGAAGCACCCACUUGUAACUACCUGGCUGCGGUG